UGGAUUCUACAGGUGUGAAGCAUUCAAAGAUAUAACCCUAACAGUCAGGAGGAGGAAUCAUGACUCCUGCCUGGGAAAGACAGUGACAUAAAGAAAUCAAAGCAGUGAAAGAGCUUCCUAGGGAAGUUGUCUGUGCGCCUUUGAAUGAAAACCAGAUGGAAGAAGCAGUGCUCUCAGUUCCCUGAAAGCCCAAGGAGUGGAAUGUUUCACCUGCCUCCAGUUCAAUAUGUACUGCAGUUGCCUAUUCAGCAUCAGAACAUUGAGGGCUGCUAGUUUGUCCCUAGCUGAGAGAGUGCCAGAGAGGCUUUGCUCACCUAAGGACUAAGUGUGAGUACAUCCUCAGCAAUCCACUGAUUGCUAUUUCUGUGGUGCAAGAUGCAAAGGUGGCUAAAAGGCUAGGUAACUGUGCUUCCUAAGAAGCUGUGGUGGACAUUGGCCUCAUCUCCUGAGAAGAGGCAAGCAAGUGUUCAUGUAAGUAAUUUACCUCCCCUGUUUAGAAAUAACUGUGGCCACUAUAAUGGGAAAAAAAAAAAGCACCUAAUAUUAAAAAGAAAAGUGAUUUUCUUGGAGAUGGGAAAAUAGUGUUAUGGUUGCUGUAACUUUUUAUUUUUUAAGAAGAUUUAUUUAUUUAUUUGGGAGAGAGAGAAUGAGCAGGAGGGGCAGAGGGGGAGGGGGAGAGAAUCUUAAGCAGAUUCCAAGCUGAGAGUAAAGCACAACUGAGGGUUGGGUCCUAGGAUUUGCCUAGAUGACCUGAGGCAAAACCAAGUGUUGAUGUUUAACCAACUGAGCCACCCAGGUGCCCCCCUUACUGUAAACUUAAAAAAAGAAAGAAAAAAAGAUGAUGGUUUCUAGAACUGAUAUUCUGGUUUGCUGAAAAGUAUUUGUGACACGAAUUACUGAUUUUCAAAAAAAAAUUAAAUUUUUGGAACUUCUUAAGAAAUGCUUCUCACUACUUGUUAAAGAGCUCAAUUUAACUUAAUUUCGGUUUGAUAAAUCCAAAGAAAUCCAAGGACUCUGCAUUAUACUGAUAGCAUACUUAUCAAUAUUAUCAUUACACAGGUUAAAGUUAAGAUACAACCUCUGGCCCUUUAUAUUAUCUGCUUAUUUGGAUUCUGGAUUAACUGCUAUGUU
rnacentral:lncRNA from 12 species